CGUUGAUUCGCACAAUUGGUC
rnacentral:siRNA from 1 species